GAUGAACGCUGGCGGCGUGCCUAAUACAUGCAAGUCGAGCGAACGGACGAGAAGCUUGCUUCUCUGAUGUUAGCGGCGGACGGGUGAGUAACACGUGGAUCACCUACCUAUAAGACUGGGAUAACUUCGGGAAACCGGAUCUAAUACCGGAUAAUAUUUUGAACCGCAUGGUUCAAAAGUGAAAGACGGUCUUGCUGUCACUUAUAGAUGGAUCCGCGCUGCAUUAGCUAGUUGGUAAGGUAACGGCUUACCAAGGCAACGAUGCAUAGCCGACCUGAGAGGGUGAUCAGCCACACUGGAACUGAGACACGGUCCAGACUCCUACGGGAGGCAGCAGUGGGGAAUCUGCGACAAUGGGCGAAAGCCUGACGAAGCAAGGCCGCGUGAGUGAAGAAGGUCUUCGGGUCGUAAAACUCUGUUAUUGGGAAAGAAAAGCAGUGGAAGGAACCGUGCACGUCCUGACGGUACCUAAUGAGAAAGCAACGGCUAACUACGUG
rnacentral:rRNA from 1 species